rnacentral:piRNA from 1 species
AAAAAGCCUAGAAAAGAACCUGUAG